ensembl:lncRNA novel transcript, antisense to CBLN1
GCGGCAGCAGGGUUGGGCUCUCGCCGUGAGUCGACGAAGGGAGCGCGGGCGCGCGCCCGCGUCCGCGCACUGAGAGUCGCCUCGGCCGCUCGCUUUCUCGACUCCCGCCUCGCGCCUCGAUCCUGUUCCGCCUCCCUCGGCCCUCCUGCCCGCCCCCACUCGUCGGCCCUCAGCUCAGAGACCUAAUAGGAUGGGGUCUUAGAGAAACAUCUUUUGAGCCACAGACUUCUUUGUUACCAGAAGGAAAAUGAAAGAAGAAAUUUAAAUACCACUUGAAGAGAGGUGCUGCCCAGUUCAUGAGUGCUGCUGCUGUCCUGCCCAAGUACCCAGCUUGCAGAGUGCCAGAGUUAGAGUCCCAGGGGUGUUCUCCACAGCUGCAUGCUUGAUCCAGGCCUAUCAGCAUUGUCUUUGAAUAUUAGCAAAUAAUGGAACAUGGGCCAAGGGUGAACCAUGACGAAUUUGUGUUCCAGCAGCCCUGCUUCUUUAGAAUUGACAGUCUGGCUUCGUGGUUAAUUCACAGCAUCUGAGGAAUACAUCCAAAGAGGGUGAUACUGUGGCAUGAUGGUACCAGGAUUCCAAGUUCAUUCCAGAUCAUUGGGUAGAGACUAGAAAUGUACCGAGCAGUGCGCAAAGAAGAUGAGGAGGGUUCUACAGUUUCUCCAGAUACAUACCAUGACAAUUUGUUUUUUUAAAAAAGAAGAAAGCCUGCAGGAAAAAAUCUACAACUUUCAUCAAAUUACUCAGGGAGACUUUAUUCUAAAGAGACUGAAAACGACCAACAUCAAUUUUGACUCCUAUGGGCAUCUGUAAAUAGCUUCAAGGUUUUAAGGUGAAAUGUCAUGUACCAAAAUACACAUUCUGGAGAAGCAGGAAGCUACAGACCAACUUGAGAUGAAAGUCUCAUAUCAAUGUUUUCCCAAGUGUGCUCCUUGGAAUACAGGUUGACAUGAUAUGAUGCCCAGCAAGGGAAACAAAACAUAUUCAUGUUCAAAUUAGUUGGGGAAAUGCUGGACUAAAUAAGGUUUGAUGGGAUUCUUUUUUCUGCAGGACUUCUCAGAAGGGGCUAGAGUAGGCAAAGUUUCCCAGAUUUACCUAAUAAAAGCAUUGUUUCUGUGGGAGUUUCAUUUGUUAUUACAUGUUUCCUGAAUGCAGAUUCAUAGACUAUCCUUUGGGGAACCCUCGUCCUCACGGGAUGUAUGUUCAUGGUGGUGUCUUCGAGUUUGUGCCCUUGUGAAGCAUUCUGGCAGCAAGCAUCUGAACACUUCCAAAAGGGGGCGAUAUUUAGGAGAAAUCGCUCAGCCUGAGUUAGAACAAAUGCAGCUGCUGGUGUCUCUUGGUGCCUGGGAGCCCUAGAGUGUCAGAGGGAGGAGCGUGCACACUGGAACCAGCAGCCUGGUGCUGCGUCUCAGCUCUGUCGCUAACUGGCUAUGCACCUCUGGGCAUGGCACUUAACCCUUCUGAGCCCCAGCCCGCCAUCUGUAAAAAGGGCUUGAUGUGAGGAUUGAAUGAGAUCAUGCAGGGAACACAAUGUCUGGCACUUGGAAGCGUCCACCAUAAAGAGCCAAGGCAGUAGAUGGCCCAGCUGGGUUUGGUCCAGGCAGAGUUUACCCUCUGCCCUGGAGGCUCCAGGAAAUGCUGCCACGUGGCUCCUAUUGCCUUAACCACAUCCGACCUGUUCCUGACAGCUCCCCACAUCUCCAGCUCCUUUGCUGGUGCUCCAGGCACCUCCAAACGUGGCGAGCCCCUCUCCCCUGCCCUCUUGUGGCAGCUGACCUGGCAGGAGUGGGACCAAGACAUCCAAGGCAGCUCCUUUCCACCUGCAUGGGCACUUUCCUCAGGACAUCCUUGCCCCUGGCACCACCUUGGGCCAGCAAGCCACAUGGAAAUGGAUGCAGAGGCACCACUGUUUGCUGACAAUUAUACACUGUCCUUAAGGUCACCCUUGGCGAUCUGUCACCAGGAGCAGACAAACCCACACCUCAACCAUCCCAUCAGAGCUUGUUUCUAUCUGCAUCUGUCAUCGCUGAUCGCAUUUGAAU